rnacentral:tRNA from 1 species
GUGGGCGUAGCUCAGUUGGUAGAGCUCCUGGUUGUGGUCCAGGUGGUCGUGGGUUCGAGCCCCAUCGUUCACCCCA